UGACAAGAGAGUGAGACAGUGGGCAUGAACGUGUUUUCCAAACCAAGGCUCUGUCCGCAUAUAGGUGGAUUAACUGUCUGGCAAAGGCAGGAAUCCAUUGAAGAGGCCAUCUCCACAUUCAGAAUCAAGGUAUGACAAUUACAAGGGGCUGAUUUUUAAAAAGAAAAAGGCCUACCUUUUUCCAGUUUGACAAGGUUUAUCAUGGUUAAAGCAACAUGUGAAAUCAUACGAUCUUGUUAUGAUAGAAGAAAACAAUAUGAAGUAGAUCAUUUUUCCAGAGAUGACCACAACAGUAUCUCCAUCAUGAAGUGGGUGUAUUUUUCUUCCCUUUGAAUCUGGGCUGACCCUGUGAUUGCUCUGACCAAUAGAAUGUGGCAGAAAGAAUGUUCUAAGACUUCCAAGCCUUGGCAUUAAGCAAAAGCAUUUAAGCAAACCCGAUAGCUUCUGCUUUGUACUCUGGAAAAUGCCAGCCACUCAUAAGGAGAGACCACCCUGCUAGCCACAGGGAAAGGCCAUGUGAAAAGAAAGAUGCCUGGCCAGCUCUAGCUCUUCCCAGCUGAGCUAUGAGACACAUGAGUGGAAAAGCCCUUAGGAAGUUCCAGCUCCAGCAGACACCAUAUGUAACAGAGAUAAGCCAUCCCCACGGAGCACUGCAAAAUGACAGCAUUGUGAACAAGUAAAUGAUCAUUGUUUUAAGGCACUAAAUGUUGGGGUAGUUUUUAAAGCAGCAAUAGAUAACCGAAACACAAAGCUAACAGAAAUGCCCAUCACAGAUCAAUGACUCUAAGCUCUACCAAAUAGAGUGUUUGUGAUGAAAACAUCUCAUCUCAGGAGUCACUUGCUUUCUGUUUACUCUCUUGCUGAUUUAUACUCUUCCCACCUGGUGCUUGUUUAUCCCAGUGGUGCACCAAGGAGGGAGUGCCUCGGGGCAGCAUAGGUAAAGUCUGUCCCUAGGAGGGAGGAGUAUUUUACCACAUUGUUUGGAACUGUUGGAGCAUAAUAAUAAAAAGCAAACUGACUUUUAGUCAAUUUUAUUUUAAAAUUCUUUGCAGACACACAAAUUUACUGUGUACUGCCGGUAGCUGGGGCAGAUCACUCCUUCUGUCACCCUCCCUGGUAUGCCACUGAUUUACAUAAAUGCAUGCAGUAAAACUCAGGAGUAAUGUCAUCUCCAUAGCGUAGAGCUGUCUGAACACAACCAAACUGUCAACUUACACAAAUGCAAGCAAGCUUUUCAUCUGUUCACUGACAAAGACCCAGCCAGGUUCCCCGCCUGGGCAGAUCCAGUGAAUCCAACCAUCCCUUAAUUCACAGAAUAAUUCUUAGCGUGUUGCUAUAGUACCCACUUCCAGGCUGACCCCCUGCUGUGGGGGUGACCCUUUCCCCAUCUGUCAGAGUCCUCCUGUCUGUUUUCCAUGGAGCUCAAUACACUCCCUUAUCUACCCUAACAAAAGGGAUUCAACCUCAAGUUUUGUUUUGAAGACUCACAGUGCAGGACCACAUUCACACCAACAAACAGAUACAAUGCAACUAAUGCCUCUGCCUCCUGCUUAUGAAAGCAGGCUGUGGCCAUCACCCUGCGAGUGGCAUCGAGGCUGCUAAAGAAUGUUGUUUCUUACCAACUUGUAGGAUGGCUACUUGGGGCAGCCUCAGAACAAAGCAACAAGUUGUUCAGUCUGUACUGAGGAGAAUCUCAAAGUGAAGUCCACUUAGGUCUUUUUCUAACUACCCAUCAAUAGGUAGGAUCCUCUGGGCUUCUACUAUGGACACAGCAUGUUGCCAAGUGUCAGGGAAAGACAAGAAAUUUUUAAAAUUGCAUUUUAGAUAAACAAUCACUUAGCAUUCCAGUGACAUCUGCUGUCUUAAGGGAAGAAAGGGUCUGUCUGGGUCUCCAGAAAGCCUGGAACAAGGAAGCAAGAGAUUCUGUGAUUUCUGCUUUCUGAAGUAAAAACAGAAAACAGACAUUUAACUGGGCUGCCAGUUACCAUCUCAGAAAGGAGUCAAGAAUUGUUCCAGGGCAAUAAGUGUAAGAGCUUUUCAAGACCCUGCAACCUUUGUGACUUUUGUAUGUUUGUCUGUUUGUUUAACCCUAUUUCCACAUGGUGAUUUGAAAUAAAAUCCUUAAAA